rnacentral:misc_RNA from 1 species
CCGAGUUUACAACUCCCAAACCCCUGUGAACAUACCCUUAUGUUGCCUCGGCGGAUCAGCCCGCGCCCGUAAAACGGGACGGCCCGCCAGAGGAACCCCUAAACUCUGUUUCUAUAGUGGAACUUCUGAGUAAAAACCAUAAUAAAUCA